CCCUUAGAUGUUCUGGGCUGCACGCGCGCUACACUGAAGCGUUCAACGAGUAUUCACCUUGCCCGGGAGGGUUGGGUAAUCUUUUGAAAACGCUUCGUGAUGGGGAUAGAUUAUUGCAAUUAUUAAUCUUCAACGAGGAAUUCCUAGUAAACGCAAGUCAUCAGCUUGCAUUGAUUACGUCCCUGCCCUUUGUACACACCGCCCGUCGCACCUACCGAUUGAAUGGUCCGGUGAAAUCCUCGGAUCGAGCCGUGGGGCAACUCCGGUUCGAGAAGUUGAUUAAACCUUACCAUUUAGAGGAAGGUGAAGUCGUAACA
rnacentral:rRNA from 1 species